GAGCCGCUAGAUGUUGCAGCAUUUUCGGCCUGGUCACACUGAGCUAGGGCUACUUUUUAUAUCAUAAAUCGAGAGUUUAAGUGUGGGGUGUUCUAUUCACUUGGUACAGUUCCCAUUCAGUUGGCAAAAUGGUGGUGACUUAUUAAUAACAUCCGUCCAAUUCUCCCUCGCUUUUCCAUUCAGUCUCCAACUAACUGCAAGUUGCACAGAUGGCCAUCUAAAGGGUAAAUUGGUGUUAUAGCUUUAGAGAUCGUUUCGAAUCACAUUGACAAUCAUGCGAAACGUUCUCCGAAGCAAAAACUCAUACAAGUAACGAUUUCCGAACAGUCGAAAUGUUGAAGUUGAAUUGUCUUACGGACAGUAAGAUGAGUACGACUAUUUGGAAAUCACAAACGAAUUGUUUUCAUGAUUGACACGCUUGUCAAGCUGCAAAACAAAA